rnacentral:tRNA from 1 species
UGCGGGGUAGAGCAGAGGAAGCUCGUCGGGCUCAUAACCCGGAGGUCGUAGGUUCGAGUCCUACCCCCGCUA